UUCUCUCUCUCUCUCUCUCAAAAACGUCUCUCUCUCUCUCUACUCUCUCUCUCUCUCUACAACACUCUCUCUAUCUCAAAUCUCUCGCCCUCGCCCGACUCCCUCAGAUCUGGAAAUCGACCCCGAUCCCACGCGGCGCCGCCUCCUUCCACGGCGACGGCGGAGACGCCGCCACCCUCCCUCUACUCACGACACCCCUACUGCCCCUAUUUCUCUUCGAUUUCCGGCGAAAACGGCUCUCUGCCGCCACCGGUCUCCAGAUAUCGGCCUCCCUCUCUCCGAUGGCAGCAGCCGUCACACAUCCACCACCACCGCCUCUGUGAAACUCCCCUCUUCCUUGCAGACGGACAGUGGCGCUGAGCCACCGCCUCCGCCUUACCUCUCGCCCAAAUUCUAAAUUUGGGCUCCCGAUGUUCAGCUCCCGAUUGGGGCUUAGGGUUAGGGAAGGAUUGGGAUUUUGGCGGUGGGAUUGAAUUGAUGAUAGACGAUUUGUUCUGAUCUCGUCGUCGUCGUCGUUGUUCGUUGAUGGAAUUUAAAAUCUUGCCCCCUUAUUUGGAGCCUUGAAUUCUAGGAUUCUUUCAAACUGAGACUCAAAAUAAAAAUUAAUGUGCUUACUUCAGUUAAAUGAUAUAUUGAACGGGUAGAGGGUCUUUGUUCAGUCAAAAUUUUGGGAGCAUGGUGCAUUUUUCUCCUUUCUCUUACAUUUUCUAUGGAUAACUUGCAGAUAAUUCAUCUUAAACAUGGAGCUCUUAAAGAUGAAUAUUGUUUCUACUAGUUAGAUUUUGCUUGGGCCAUUGAUGAUAUGGCUUAUGCGUGAAUGAAUCUUUAGCUAUUAGAUCAUCUUUUUUCAUACAGUUGUAUGUGUGCCAUUUUAAGUUGUAUAAUGGUUGCAGGGGAACUUAGAUUUCAUAUCAUGAUGCAUUAAAGAAAAUUGGGUGUUUGUUUGUGUUUAUUAGCUUAGCUUCAUGUUUGAUUAGGUUACCUUUUGUUUUCCCCUUUUUCUGCCAAAAAAAAUAAUAAUAAUGCAGCGAAAUCAUGUGGAGAUGGGAAGCAGAGGGCCAAGCACUCCGCCAUGGCUAGAUAUCUUGCCGUUGACCUCGCCAAUGAAGUUCAAGCAGAACCCCAACAAUACUCUGAUGAGGAGUGGGUUCCUACCAAGAGAUCAAGAUCAGGCCCCGCAAAGAAUAAUUCUAGAGGCAAGGCAGUUCGAACGCCUGUGAGGAGGCAACCGAGGGCCAGUGUAAAUGCCCAAAAGGUGGCUAUGGCAGAAAAGAGGGAGAAGGAUGCUCUUGAUCAGGUUGGUGAAUUGGAAAGAAAGAUUACUGAGAUGACAGACAAGAUGAAUGGCUGAUGGAAAACCAGUAGCUGCUUAUGUUAUCUACAAACACCUUCUCCAUUGGAAUGCCUUUGAAUAUGAGAGGACUACUAUUUUUUAUUUCAUCAUUGAGAGCAUCAAUGAAGAAUUGAAGUCUCCAAGACAACCUGAUUCCGUGCAAUGUGGAUUUUUCGUGAUGCGUUACAUGAAAGAAAUUAUCGAAGAGCUUAUGAGGAAUGGUCGCAUUUGCCUACAUCCACAUUUUGACAAUCGGAGUUAUACUAAAGAGGAUAUUGAUGAAGUUCGUGUUGAGUGGGCGAAUCUCAUUCUUAGUUACAUAUAAAAAGUAGAGGAUAUGCUGGGAACGAAGCUAAAAUAUAAGAGACUUUUGCUGAAUUUUCCACGAAGAUUCUUGUUUUUGAAAACAAAUAUUGUACUUUCUUUAUUUUGUUAUAUUUAAUCUCAUGUCGUAUAUUAGCUUCAUUUCAGUGUACAUUUAUCAGAUUAUGAAAUAUUGUGAAAGUAUAUAUGACAAUUAUAAUUUUUUGGUGCA